AUGCAUUAUCUAUCUCUAUAUAUAUUGAUAUCUAAUGCAUAUCUAAAGAUAUCAAUAUAUAUAGAGAUAGAUAAUGCAUUU